GAUUUUCGAGUAAACAAUGAUGUCCCACUAAUAUGCAUUUUUGGGGUGGGUUGAUGCCAAACCGAAGUAUGGGGAAGUAAUUCUAGAGUACUGUACUGUGUCGUACUUUGUCCCCCCCUGCUGUACGGAGUGCUCCUACAUCAAUUUAAGUCAACAUGGCUUUCUUCAUUGGCGGCUAGCUGUGCUAAGAUUGCUAUCUAGCUAGCUGGAUGAUUUGAGCUAACCAGGUGCCUCUGAACGCUUCCUGCCCUAGCGUUCCUUGUCCAUUUCUUCCGAGGUGUUGAAUCCGGCAUGGCAACAGCGCAAACAAAAAUCCCACCCCGCCACACACCCGCCACAACACAAAGAGGUGCUUUGGACAACAACGAGGACCUCAGGCGGAGCUCAGAGAAAACAGGACCUUUCAAGCGCUCACCUCCAGCGGGUUAUGUGACCAGAAGGGACAUCAAGCGACUUUUUCCUCCGGUCAUGCAAAUCAAUCCCUCUAGAUCUCUGUGGCGACGUGGAGACGACAGUGGAAGCGCGGCGAGCACUUCCGGUUUGAUCGAAUGUUGUCGCACAUGGCGCCGUUCAAGCUAGCACCUCUACUGGCUAACGACCCUCACGCACUCGCGGAAACAUGAAUGGAAACAAGUGCAACGUUUUCUACAGCAACACGCAGGUGAGAGCGCGGCGCGUGCAGCAGAAUCACGCGUCAGAUGCGCUCAGACUUGCGUCAUGUGGAGGAGGAGAUGGAGGUGGAGAACGAUAUGGCCGCCCUGAAUCAUCUGCUUCCAUUCAUGAUUGCCACAGAGCGCAUCUGAAGAGGUCUUGUUAUUGAGAGUGGCGCCCGGUGACAUCUGCACCAGCAGACAGAUCUCUCCAGAUAAAAUGGAUCUCAUGGCAACCGGGUCGCCAUGGCAACCGGGACAGAUGCCAGGCUGAGUUUGCAAAACCACGGACAUCAUUGAAAUCUAAUUAGAGAGCAUCCUUCCUUUCUUUUGCUUCACUCGUUUGUGGAUUUAUGGAAUUUUUCCACGUGGCAGUCCAGGGGCCGAACUACAGCAGUCUCUUGAAAGUGGUUACGGAUAUUCACCCAGCCAAGAUGAUCAUGUCAUAAAGCGGAUUCACCCAGUAAGGAUGCAAUUAUUAUUAUUAUUGUUAGCUCACAGUCUAUUGACUUUUGAUUAAUUUCAGACAUGAUUUUUGGGCAGGCACUCAGAGACUGCCGCUAUUUGCAUAAAUCUCUUAAAGUAUACAUUUCCAUGAAAUGUCAUUUUAAAGGGGCCAUUUUUGAAAAUGAUAUUUGCAAUCGUGCGCACCGCGGGUCAUGUUUCCUCAAAGCGGAUUAUGUAACAUGACCUCAAUGGCUCACCAACAAAAUAAAUAACUUUGCUAAGACUUGAACGUAAAUUUCACUUUACAGCUUUUGGCGGCGCCCCCGAAACCGCGGAAGUAGUAAUUUUGUUUUAAAAUACCGCCGUAAAUAACCAGCUCCACGUCUCUUAUUCAGGCUGUCAGCGCUUUGAUCACCCAGACAUCACUAAUCGACUGUUUUUUUUUUUUUUUUUUAAAUCACCGAUCCUUGAAUAGAGUCACUGAUUAGGAGUUAUGCGCAUGUGUGAAUGAGGUUUUUUUUUUUUCUCUCAUUAUUUUUCUUUUUCAUUUUUUUUUCUCCUUCGCCCGACUGAGACGAGUUGAAAGUCACAGCAACGAGGGAGCAGAGAAAUUUCUAGGUCGGAGGCGAGGGCGUUUGAGAAGCGAACCACUUGGGACCCGACGUGAAUCGGAGAGCGCCGUAAUCCCUUGGGGGAGAAUGGUGGUGGUGGUGGUGGGGGGGGGGGUUUACCUAUAUGCGUCAUAUAAUAUGCAGCAUGUAAGGAUUUGCAUCAAUUUUUUUUUUGUCUCCAAGAUGUAAAUGAGUAGCUCACAAAUGUGUUGCACCUCGCAAAGAAUUAUGAAGCGCAGUGAAAUGCGGACUGGCUCACUCCCGCCGAGCUCUCAAUUUGAAAUUAUGAUUUUCAAACUUAAUUAAUCUUUUUGUAUCCCCAUAUCAUUAACAAGUACUAAAUUGGUGGCACGGUGGAUCAGCUGGUAAAGUGUUGGCCUCACAGUUCUGAGGUCCUGGGUUCAAUCCCAGCCCUGCCUGUGUGGAGUUUGCAUGUCCUCCCUGUGCCUGCGUGGGUUUUCUCCGGGCAUUUCGGUUUCCUCCUACAUU